CACUAGUUAACAACUUUACAUUCCUAUUUCAUUAUAUAUCUCAUUAGGUUAGAUGGGGCAGUUAAUUCUCCAAACAAAGCUAACAAAGCUGGACUUGCAGCAGUGAUAUUGCUCGCUGGGAAACAGAUCACUUGUUAAGAACUCAUUUCAGGCACUCCUAAACUGGCAAAUGUUUACAAUGCUGACAUGUGAGAAUCACCCUUCAACACUUUCCUUAAAGAUGUAAAGCACGGGUGCUUGUGGGGAGAAUUUGCAUAUGCAUACCUGUACAAUGCAAAACAGGUUUUAUUGCAUGGGGCCUGAAACAGAAGGAGAACCUAAUUCUAAGAUGUUUCCAACAACAUGAAAAGUACUAACAGAGCUAAAAACUAGUACUUUUUGUUCCUUUUAAAACCUUUAACAACUGUUACUUUCGUGGUAAAUGGUAAAAACAGUUUAAAUGCACGUUGCAGUCAAGUCUUAUGGCAGUUGAAAUUGGCAGCAAUUGCAAUGUAUAAACUUGUGACUCUUGUUUGACUGGUUUAUUUAUACCUAGACACUUUCUCUGAUCCAUAAUGACUAAAAUGAUUUUUUGUGCAACAUUUGCUUUAAUUAUACUUUCUGCUGAGUGUUUCUUGCUACACUUGGUGUUGGCUCUCACUGUAGUACUGUAGCUUAAUCCAUGUAGGUUGUUUUAAUUAUAAAUCUUUAGAUAGUGACUUAUUUCAUAGUGUAAUCAUCACGUUUUAUCCAAAACAAAAUUUCUGAUUUCCGAAAUUGAUUUCGGGAAAUCUUUGAAAUUUGUGUGUCGUAUGCUUAAAGAUUUUUUGAAAUCUUCUGAAACUACAAAUGUGAAAAAAAAAACCCAACUGGGUACCCAGAAAUCUGGUGAAUAAUAUUUCUGGCAGUCUAAGCACAAAUACCUUGGUGUGAAGCUGUUCAUUAGAACAAAUGGUUAAUCUGAUAAAACUAAUCUGACAAAAGGAUGCACUACAGGGGUCUUUAAAAAAUUACUUAUGCUUUGGCUAAUUUACUCAUAUGAACAAAUGGAUGUUUUUCAUUGCACUGUCUCAAGCGCAAGGAUGAGGCUUUUCAAAGAUGCCUUAAAAAGGAGAGCUCAAACCCCAGCCUGCGUAGACCAGCAUUAACUAAAAAAGACACAAAGAUGAACAGCAGGAAACAACACUGGAGCUGCACCUACCAGACGUCUGAGGGGGCCUAUGGAUGAGCUUAAAAUUAAGAAAACCCUUCUCUGUGAGAAAUUAAAGGAAAAUGAGGCUGAAUGGGAAACCUUGCUUCAGUCUUUCCACCCAGGAGCUUGCACCCAAUGCCAAACAUCAGGAACAAACCCUAGAAACAAGUUCUCGUGAGGAAAAACUGGAAAAUCAGAGAGGCAGAAGAGGAGGAAAUGAACAAAGAAAGAAAGGACAAAAGAAAGCAGAAAGGAAAAGGAUGAAAAACGAAGAACAGAAGAAGAAAGUGAAGAAAACUUUGAGAGUGAGAGAAAGAUGUGAUGAGAACAUAGAAGAUCAAAAUAACAGCUGAGAAGAAACGAGAAAAGGUGGCAGACGCAAAGCAGCAAGAAAGAAGAAAAGAGAUUAGCUCGAGCAGAGGAUCUAAACCCCAACCUCUACCCUCUCUCCUCCUUCCAGUCUUACCUGUGCUCUCACUUUCCCUACUACUAUUUACCCUUGUUUUGCAAACAUGUACAGUGCACCAAUUUCGGAUGAAAUUUAUUGAACUAUCAUGUAUUCAUUUUAAAAUAAACAGCGGUGCUCCAGUUUUAGUCUUUGCCUAC
ensembl:lncRNA